rnacentral:rRNA from 1 species
GACGAACGCUGGCGGCGUGCCUAACACAUGCAAGUCGAACGGACAGGCCCUGCUUUUGUGGGGUGCUCGAGUGGCGAACGGGUGAGUAACACGUGAGUAAACUGCCCUUGAAUUUGGGAUAACUUCAGGAAACUGGGGCUAAUACCGGAUAGGAGAUCCUGCUGCAUGGUGGGGGUUGGAAAGUUUCGGCGGUUGGGGGUGGACUCGCGGCAUAUCGGCUUGUUGGUGGGGUAGUGGCUUCCCAAGGCUUUGACGGGUAGCCGCCCUGGAAGGGUGACCGGCACCAUGGGACCACGGGAGGGACCCGUACGCCAACGGAGGCAGCAGUGGGGAAUAUUGCACAAUGGGCGGAAGCCUGAUGCAGCAACGCCGCGUGCGGGAUGACGGCCUUCGGGUUGUAAACCGCUGUCGCCUGUGACGAAGCGUGAGUGACGGUAAUGAGUAAAGAAGCACCGGCUAACUACGUG